rnacentral:lncRNA from 1 species
UAAAAACCAGGUGAUGACUGACAGCUGAGACUGAGUUGUGAUUGGUCAAGCACGUUUAUCAGCGGAACCUCAGCACCAUGGCUCCGUCAAUGACUCUGUCGGCAGCUCCCGUAUCUGUGACAGUUGGUCCAUCUUUAUAUACCGUCUCUAGUAACAUUCUUCAACAUUACACAUAGUCAUUUCAUCUGUUGUUAACAGCUCCAGGUUUAAGGUCCACAGUGUUUUGUGUCAGUAUCAGUGUUUAUUCACAAAUGCAGUAUCUGAUUGUUUGUGUUGCAGUGUGAGUGAAUCCCUUCCUGAUGCCGUGCUGCUGAUGUGGACUGUAUCAAAUCCAGCAGCCAGAGGCCAGCACCAGCUCCAUUGCUGUCUCCGCUAUAUUCCCUCGCCAGCUCUGUUGCUAUGGUACCUUACCGUACCUUGUCCGGAUAAAUCUGGGUUGACUGGAGAGAUCAGGCGGCCGCUGGACACUGCAGAGUCAGCAACAGGGAGGCCAGUGCAAGACUCCGCACAACAUCUACCACUCACACUAGAUACAGGCCAAUAUUAA